GAUGAACGCUGGCGGCGUGCCUAAUACAUGCAAGUCGAGCGAACAGACGAGGAGCUUGCUCCUCGGACGUGAGCGGCGGACGGGUGAGUAACACGUGUAUAACCUACCUAUAAGACUGGGAAAACUUCGGGAAACCGGAGCUAAUACCGGAGAAGAUAUUGAACCGCAUGGUUCAAUAGUGAAAGACGGUGUUUCUGUCACGUAUAGAUGGAUCCGCGCCGCAUGAGAUAGUUGGUAAGUUAACGGCUUACCAAGGCAACGAUGCGUAAACGACCUGAGAGGGUGAUCGCCCACACUGGAGCUGAGACACGGUCCAGACUACUACGGGACGCAGCAGUAGGGAAUCUUCCGCAAUGGGCGAAAGCCUGACGGAGUAACGCCGAGUGAGUGAUGACGGUCUUCGGAUCGUAAAAAUCUGUUAUUAGUGAAGAACAAAUUUGUAAGUAACUAUGCACGUCUUGACGGUACCUAAUCAGAAAGCCACGGCUAACUACGUG
rnacentral:rRNA from 1 species